rnacentral:rRNA from 1 species
GCUCCCUGAUGUUAGCGGCGGACGGGUGAGUAACACGUGGGUAACCUGCCUGUAAGACUGGGAUAACUCCGGGAAACCGGGGCUAAUACCGGAUGGUUGUCUGAACCGCAUGGUUCAGACAUAAAAGGUGGCUUCGGCUACCACUUACAGAUGGACCCGCGGCGCAUUAGCUAGUUGGUGAGGUAACGGCUCACCAAGGCGACGAUGCGUAGCCGACCUGAGAGGGUGAUCGGCCACACUGGGACUGAGACACGGCCCAGACUCCUACGGGAGGCAGCAGUAGGGAAUCUUCCGCAAUGGACGAAAGUCUGACGGAGCAACGCCGCGUGAGUGAUGAAGGUUUUCGGAUCGUAAAGCUCUGUUGUUAGGGAAGAACAAGUGCCGUUCAAAUAGGGCGGCACCUUGACGGUACCUAACCAGAAAGCCACGGCUAACUACGUGCCAGCAGCCGCGGUAAUACGUAGGUGGCAAGCGUUGUCCGGAAUUAUUGGGCGUAAAGGGCUCGCAGGCGGUUUCUUAAGUCUGAUGUGAAAGCCCCCGGCUCAACCGGGGAGGGUCAUUGGAAACUGGGGAACUUGAGUGCAGAAGAGGAGAGUGGAAUUCCACGUGUAGCGGUGAAAUGCGUAGAGAUGUGGAGGAACACCAGUGGCGAAGGCGACUCUCUGGUCUGUAACUGACGCUGAGGAGCGAAAGCGUGGGGAGCGAACAGGAUUAGAUACCCUGGUAGUCCACGCCGUAAACGAUGAGUGCUAAGUGUUAGGGGGUUUCCGCCCCUUAGUGCUGCAGCUAACGCAUUAAGCACUCCGCCUGGGGAGUACGGUCGCAAGACUGAAACUCAAAGGAAUUGACGGGGGCCCGCACAAGCGGUGGAGCAUGUGGUUUAAUUCAAAGCAACGCGAAGAACCUUACCAGGUCUUGACAUCCUCUGACAAUCCUAGAGAUAGGACGUCCCCUUCCGGCGCAGAGUGACAGGUGGUGCAUGGUUGUCGUCAGCUCGUGUCGUGAGAUGUUGGGUUAAGUCCCGCAAC